CCCUCCAGCCUGGGCGACAGAGUGAGACUGUGUCUCAAAAAUAGAUAAAUAAAUAAAUAAAUAAAUAAAUUUAAAAAAUAAUAGAUAAAAAGGCUGAUUUAAGGGCCCCAUCCCAGGCCCAGUGAAUCCAAAUGUCCAGGAGAGAUUGUUGUGUUUCUUGUUGUCGUUGUUUUGUUUUUGUUUUUGUUUUUUUGAGACAGGGUCUUGUUCUGUUGCCCAGGCUGGAUGAAGUGGCUCGAAUAUGGCUUUCUGCAGCCUGGACCUCCUGGGCUUAAGCGAUCCUCUCGUCUCAGCCUCCCAAAGUGCUAGGAUUAGAGCCAUGAACCACGGCGCCCAGGCUACUCUGCAUCCUGACCAAACCUUAACAUGGAAUCUGUGUUAUUUUUGUGGCUGACACCACCAGUGCCAUUUGUUGGUUCCCUCUUUGCCAGAUAAAGCUCAGACAGUGCCCUCUGUUGGAAACCUCAACCACAAAUCCCCGUCCUCGACUCCAUGGCGAGAAGGACCUAGAAGGAAACAAACACCUCCCAGGAGCCUUUCACACACAUUGUUCUCAUUUUAUCCUUGCAGUUGCUUGGUGAGGUUACUGUGUCCAACCUGGGCAAACUGAGGCAGCUGCCCCAAUCACAGCCAGAGCGGAGCUGAGAUCGGAACUCAAGGCGGCUGCCUUCAAAGCUUGUGCUUCACUCCCUCUACCUAGCUGUAGCUGUAGGAUGAUUUGACAAGGGACUUGAAGAUACAAUCUCAAGGACAGAGCAGUAUCCACCUGCAACAGUUGGACAAUUUAAAAAACCAGUACUUUAGCACUCUGAGAGGCACGGGGCUGCCGGAGAGAGAAGAGUUGUCUAAACUGAGGAAGGUAGCCAGGCGCGGUGGCUCACGCCUGGGAUCCCAGCACUUUGGGAGGCCAAGAGGGCAGAUCGCUUGAGCCCAGGAGUUCGAGACCAGCCUGGACAAUAUAGCAAAACCCCAUCUCUAUUUAAGUUUAAAUAAAGAAGAAUUUAAAGAAAAAAUAAGGUGUGGCAGGUCCUCCAUGUUUGGUGUAUGAAUGAAUACAUCACUGAAGGAAUGACGUAUGAGUGUGAGAGAAUCAGCCACAUGAAGAAAAAUGCCCAGAAUCCAGGUUUCUCAUUUAGAGCCAUUCAAAGGGUGAGAGCUUAGGAUGUCAAGUUCAUCACCAGACUUGAUAUGCACAUCACUAAACCUGCACCCUUCUGAUUUUAAAGAUGGAGGUGGGAGACCUUUCUCCCCCAAGUCAUAGAACUGAUCAACAAAGAAAAAAAAAUACCAAAAAGAGCCACAUAUAAAUAACAAGCAAUAUUUACUGCUCGUGAUU
rnacentral:lncRNA from 1 species